GGCUCUCUUUAAGUCUCUUAUUCAUGGCCCGCCAAACCGGUUCUUUUUUGUUUUUGUGGUGUAAGCAUUUUCUUGAAACGGGUCUGAAUCGGUUAAGUAUUUACAAGUGCAUCGGUUGUUUUCAGUUUAGUGUUAAUAUUAUGCGAUUUGUACAGUUUUCAAACAACAUGCGUAUGCGUCUAUUCAGUAAUCAGUGGGUUUCUUUUUGCUUGGGAACUUAUUUAACUGGAUGAUUCAGAGUGAUAAGAAAAGUCAACGGACAAUCCCAGUCAGCGGUAAAAAAAACCGUUCAAGCGUAUGUAUGUACAUAUGUACAUAUGUGUGCAAUCUUUAAAUUCGAUUCAUUUCAGCAUUUGAACACCAUUUACCAUUUAUUGGCUUAAACUGUAGACUAGGCAAGACAAACCUUGCAAACUUAAACAUAUGGCACUUAGUAAGCUUAAAUUCUUAAUUUCCAUUUCCCGCCCCAUCUUUGGCCCCUGUAUAUUUCAAUCCUUUCAGCAGCGGCGAGUCCUCCACAUCAUUAUUCUUCACGGGCUCCAACGACCUAUUCGUCUCGAUGGAACUAAUCUCGAUCUUGUGCAUCAGGCUCUUCUGCCAGAUCAUUUGGUGGGGAUACCAGAAUACCAUCAGCACACCCAAGACCACGCCCAGGAUGCCACAGAUCUUGCCCACAAACUCAAGGAUCGACAUUAGCUUCACGUAGCCCAGAAGAUCAUCCGUGAUGCGGACAUUGUAAUCCGCCCAGAUCAACGGGAAGAAUGUUCUUCUCGCCGUGCGGCCCCAUACUUACAAAUGAGUUUUGGGCUCCACCAGCAAGUUGGCCAUAAUACGCGCCUUGAUCUCCAGCACCAUUCCGGUCUUGGGCUCCAACAUAAUGACCAUCUCGUGUCGAUCCUUGUCGGGCUUCAUGCCCUCCACCUGCUCUCCGUAGUAGGGAUCGGCCUUAUAGAAGUGCGGAUAGGAAGCAAAGACAGGCGCUCCAUACCAACAGGAGGAUAUGUUGAGAAGACCGGAUCUCACCUCCUGGCAGUUAUCCUGGCAAUAGCAACUGUUAUCCGGGUUAUCAGUACCUGAAAGGGAAAAGGGGUUAAUAGAUAAGCUAGCAAUUUUUCUGUAGACUAUCCAGUACUUACCAUUUGCCAUGUUGCGCGCACUGCCUCUGUAAACGAAAGCUUCGAUGCCCUCGAAGAUUGUGGUGCCGGAGUAGUCCACCUGCAGCUCGCGGCACAGAUCCGGCAGGAAGUAGGAGAUGGGUCUGCCCUUCACCAGCGGUAUGGGGUGGAACUCCCCGGCACUGCCCUUCAACUUGCACCUGG
rnacentral:sRNA from 1 species